GGAAGGAUCAUUAACACGUGUUUCACGUUACCAAACAAACCCCAACUGUCUUCGGAUAGUUGGGGCACACACAACUAGCCCGUCAGGGCUUGCGAAGUUAUGUGGUUCGUUGAGAUUCCCACUUUGAGUAGUACUUCCUUUUUGGGGGGAAACCACAUGAUGGGACUUGAGACGACCGCAUUUUGUUAACCAUUUCUUUUUAUAUUUAUUCUUGUUUUGAAAGAUGUCACCUCAAAUGAUGUCUUUUAAUACAAACUCUGUACAACUCUUAGCAACGGAUGUCUUGGUUUCCGCCUCGAUGAAGAACGCGGCAAGAUGCGCUACGUGAUGCGAAUUGCAGAAUUCAGUGAAUCAUCAACUCUUCGAACGCAACUGGCACGGAGGCUGGUUUUCGGACUAGCUUCUCGGGCUCCGUUUGUCAGAGGCAAACCAACUAAUUAAAUGCCAGUGCCCCUUAAACCAGCAAUGGUUUUUGGCGGCCUUGUGCCAUUCGUCACUAACCUCUCUGAGGUGUUGUGGCGGUGUUUGAGCGUCGUUGCCGUAAUCGGUAAGAACUCUUUUCGGAGAGUCGCAACGUUGCUUUAAAUUAACGUCUUUUCGUUCGCAAGAGAUAGGUACUACCACAGGCGUUGGGGGAGUUCUUCGGAGCUCUUGUCGCUGGUGGAGCACCGUUUGCGAAUCGGUUUUGGGUUUUACCCUCCCCGACUCGCUAUAUGCGGUGUUUCGUGCCGGACAGACACUUCUGUGUUCCCGUGCUGUUCUUAGAGGUCCGUCCUCGAGGUGGCCCGUUUGUCGGUAAUAGUACUGUGUAUCUUUCGAAUCCGGAAAGUAUCUCUUCGGAGAGGGAACAAGAGGUUUUCAUGCCUCUUUUCUCUUUACUUUAGUUACGCCCUGACAUCGGUGGGACCACCCGCUGAAUUUAAGCAUAUUAUUAAGCGGAGGAAAAGAAACUAACAAGGAUUCCCCUAGUAACGGCGAGUGAAGCGGGAAUAGCUCAAUUUUUAAAUCGGUGCCCAUGAGGGUACUGAGUUGUAAUCUAAAGACGUGCGAUCAGCGUGUGACCUGGGUAUAACUCCUUUGGAAAAGGGGAUCAUAGAGGGUGAUAAUCCCGUCUUUGACCCGGAGAUCGCCGCGUACGAUUCACGUUCUAAGAGUCGGGUUGUUUGGGAUUGCAGCCCUAAAUGGGUGGUAAACUUCAUCUAAAGCUAAAUAUUGGCGGAAGACCGAUAGCGAACAAGUAGCGUGAGCGAAAGAUGAAAAGAACUUUGAAAAGAGAGUUAAACAGUACCUGAAAUUGCUAAGAGGUAAGUUAUGGAAACCAGUCCUUCCUGGGGCGAUAUUUACCUUUGGCCGAAUAGCAGUGGCAAACUAGGAGGAUAAAACCCUUGGCUAGUAACUUUAGCAAGGUCAGGGGGUCCUGUCGCUUUGGGCGCGUCAGAAUCAGUUUGACUUGCCGGAAAAAGCUAGGAGGAAGGUAGGGAAUUAUGGGGUUCGCUCCACAGCUCCCGUUAUAGCCUUUUAGCCAUACGGUGGGUUAGACUGAGGAAACGAUAAGGCACCCCUUCAUUGGGAUUGGCGCCUGUCCUCUGCGGUCUCAGUGGGUGUGGACAGCAAAGCUGUGCUACCUGCAAAGGGCUGUACGGGGUGGGAUCCGCUAUUCGUGUCUUAGCGAUUCUGACAAAAUGGUUUUCAUUGACCCGUCUUGAAACACGGACCAAGGAGUCUAACAUACAUGCGAGUAUUUGGGUGGCAAACCCUGAUGCGUAAUGAAAGUGAAGGAGGCGUAUGCCUCUGAGGUAGGAACCCGUAAGGGGGCACUAUCGACCGCUCAACCACUUGUGGUAGAUGCGAGUAAGAGCAUGUCUGUUGGGACCCGAAAGAUGGUGAUCUAUGCCUGGCCAGAACGAAGUCAGUGGAAACACUGAUGGAAGUUCGUAGCGAUACUGACGUGCAAAUCGUUCGUCGAAUCUGGGUAUAGGGGCGAAAGACUAAUCGAACCAUCUAGUAGCUGGUUCCCUC
rnacentral:misc_RNA from 1 species